rnacentral:lncRNA from 1 species
UCUGGUUUUUAUUAUGAGUUCUUCCUGCUCUGCUUCUUGCUGCACAGCUAUACUGGUGAUGGAAGAUCCCAAUAAAAAUAGCUCCUCAUGUAGCAUUACAAUUUGAUCGUUCAGACCAACAAUCCUGUCAGACUUGUUAUUUAUUAGGUCCAUGAGAUCAUCAAGAACGGAAUCAACGAUGAAGAGUGAAACCACACCAGUCUUUGGAGCCAUAUCAAUUGGCAUCUUUGAGACUGUGAUGCAGUGCUCCUUGAUCUUUGAUUUCAAGAGCUCGAACUUUGGUAACAAAUCAGAAAGAGCUAGAUCCACUAUUCCACUCUCCGGGACUCGAUCAUUCUUGGUGAAAACUAUGAAACUUCCUAUCUCAUGGACCAUAGCUUUGAUAUCCGCCAUUGCUUUCUCGGUUUCUUCUACCUCAGUAGUGGUCUGCAAUGGCAUGUCCUCAAGAACGUCGAAAAUGCCAGAGUGCAAGAAACUUACUACGUCGUUGACCACAUUACAAUUUGAUCGUUCAGACCAACAAUCCUGUCAGACUUGUUAUUUAUUAGGUCCAUGAGAUCAUCAAGAACGGAAUCAACGAUGAAGAGUGAAACCACACCAGUCUUUGGAGCCAUAUCAAUUGGCAUCUUUGAGACUGUGAUGCAGUGCUCCUUGAUCUUUGAUUUCAAGAGCUCGAACUUUGGUAACAAAUCAGAA